rnacentral:rRNA from 1 species
AACGAACGCUGGCGGCAUGCCUAACACAUGCAAGUCGAACGCCCCGCAAGGGGAGUGGCGAACGGGUGAGUAACGCGUGGGAACCUACCCAGCAGUUGGGGAUAACCGCGGGAAACUGCGGCUAAUACCGAAUACGUCCUAAGGGAGAAAGAUUUAUCGCUGUUGGAGGGGCCCGAGUCGGAUUAGCUAGUUGGUGAGGUAACGGCUCACCAAGGCGACGAUCCUUAGCUGGUCUGAGAGGAUGAUCAGCCACACUGGGACUUAGACACGGCCCGGACUCCUACGGGAGGCAGCAGUGGGGAAUAUUGGACAAUGGGGGCAACCCUGAUCCAGCAAUGCCGCGUGAGUGAUGACGGCCUUAGGGUUGUAAAGCUCUUUUACCGGGGACGAUGAUGACGGUACCCGGAGAAUAAGCCCCGGCUAACUUCGUGCCAGCAGCCGCCGUAA